ensembl:snRNA U6 U6 spliceosomal RNA
UUGUUUCAGCAGCACAUAUUCUAAACCUGGACUUAUACAGAGAUUAGCAUGUCCCCUGCACAAUGAUCACACACAAAUUCAUAUUCAUGAAGAGUUCCAUGCUUUU